rnacentral:tRNA from 1 species
GUUCUCGCAUCUCAAUUGGUUAGAGUGCUCGCUUAGUAAGCGGUGGUCUUGAGUUUGACUCUCAAUGAGAUCC